rnacentral:lncRNA from 1 species
CUGCACUUUUCGCGUGUCCUCGAUCCUCGAGCAGUUUCUGAUACUGGAGGCACUCCAGGUUUUUGCGGGCCAACUACGGGGGAUUAACGGCUGGAAAUUCGGGAACCUGUGUGUGGCAAACUGUCGUGUCUCUGUGAUGUGCAGCACUAUUCAGUGCGCACUUUCGGGAGGGCUGUUGAACCCGGUAAACCAGAGUUGUGGCUCGAAUCCGGACAGAAUCAAGACCAAUGCCGCAAGCCAAAGAUAAGCCUUCAAAGUGUAUCGUUGCGGAGGUACGGAUUUUUGCACGGGAACGUCUGGAUCGAUCGAUGGCAAGGCACACUUACGAAAUGCACGGUCGUUUUCACUUUCUACGCGCGAGAAAAGGCUCUGAUGACUCACUGCAGCAGCGCGCAUUGCAGGAUUUUCCUGGCGCUUUGAAUGAGAGGCUUGCCAAGUGAUGUAGACACCGCAGCGAAGUCCGGGUGUCUUCAUCUGUUCGUACUUUGUAGCAGUCGAUCUGUGUCACUUUGUAGACGCCAAGUGUCGAAUACAAGGACUCUUGUUAGACUGAACGUGGAUUCUCGGGGGUUUGGACGUGGCAGAAGCCAGCGCCGUUCAAAUGCCGUGGGCCAUUUCAGGCUAGCACAGUCGUGGACCCAAAUACAUUACAGUGCCGUCAGCAGUCGUCGAGAAGCAGACAGCUCGAACGAUUUGAAUAUACUCCAGCCGUACCAGUGUUCAACAGAAAGUCUUUUAGGUGGAAGCCGCCGGACGAAGCAUCCGACUCCACCAUUUCGCUGAAUCUUGAUAAGACGGCAUUUCUUUCGCUUGCGUGUGACUCGUAGUCAAGUGCGUCCUACUACAUCGUUGUCGACGGAUAAAAUCAGAAAUGGGUGAUACGUACGUCAGUCAACAAAUCUAUAGAGGAAGGUUGCGGC